rnacentral:rRNA from 1 species
GUAGGUGGCAAGCGUUGUCCGGAAUUAUUGGGCGUAAAGCGCGCGCAGGCGGUUCUUUAAGUCUGAUGUGAAAGCCCACGGCUCAACCGUGGAGGGUCAUUGGAAACUGGAGAACUUGGGUACAGAAGAGGAAAGCGGAAUUCCACGUGUAGCGGUGAAAUGCGUAGAGAUGUGGAGGAACACCAGUGGCGAAGGCGGCUUUCUGGUCUGUAACUGACGCUGAGGCGCGAAAGCGUGGGGAGCAAACAGGGAUUAGAUACCCUGGUAGUCCACGCCGUAAACGAUGAGUGCUAAGUGUUAGGGGGUUUCCCGCCCCUUAGUGCUGCAGCUAACGCAUUAAGCACUCCGCCUGGGGAGUACGCCGCAAGGCUG